AAACCCGGAAGCGGAUCGGGUGGAGUGAAGGUCACGUCGCCAUGAUAUCUCUUCCAAAUGCUUGAUGAAAAAGGUGGAAGGGUCACUUGACCCAGGGAGUUGAAGGCUGCAGUGAGCCCUGUUUUUGCCACCACACUCCAGCCUGGGAUUGAUUUCUAAAGACUCAUGUUACGUGAGGAAGCAGCUCAGAAGAGGAAAGGAAAGGAGUCAGGCAUGGCUCUUCCUCAGGGACGCUUGACUUUCAGGGAUGUGGCUAUAGAAUUCUCAUUGGCAGAGUGGAAAUUCCUGAACCCUGCACAGAGGGCUUUGUACAGGGAAGUGAUGUUGGAGAACUACAGGAACCUGGAGGCUGUGGAUAUCUCUUCCAAACACAUGAUGAAGGAGGUCUUGUCAACAGGGCAAGGCAAUAGAGAAGUGAUCCACACAGGGACAUUGCAAAGACAUCAAAGUUAUCACAUUGGAGACUUUUGCUUCCAGGAAAUUGAGAAAGAAAUUCAUAACAUUGAGUUUCAGUGUCAAGAAGAUGAAAGAAAUGGCCAUGAAGCACCCACGACAAAAAUAAAAAAGUUGACUGGUAGCACAGACCAACAUGAUCACAGGCAUGCUGGAAACAAGCCUAUUAAAGAUCAGCUUGGAUCAAGCUUUUAUUCACAUCUGCCUGAACUCCACAUAUUUCAGAUCAAAGGUGAAAUUGCUAAUCAACUUGAGAAGUCUACCAGUGAUGCUUCCUCAGUUUCAACAUCCCAAAGAAUUUCCUGUAGGCCCCAAAUCCAUAUUUCUAAUAACUAUGGGAAUAAUCCCCUGAAUUCUUCAUUACUCCCACAAAAACAGGAAGUACACAUGAGAGAAAAAUCUUUCCCAUGUAAUGAGAGUGGCAAAGCCUUUAAUUGUAGCUCACUCUUAAGGAAACACCAGAUACCCCAUUUAGGAGACAAACAAUAUAAAUGUGAUGUAUGUGGCAAGCUCUUUAAUCACAAGCAAUACCUUGCAUGCCAUCGUAGAUGUCACACUGGAGAGAAACCUUACAAGUGUAAAGAGUGUGGAAAGUCCUUCAGUUACAAGUCAUCCCUUACAUGCCAUCAUAGACUUCAUACUGGAGUAAAACCUUACAAGUGUAAUGAGUGUGGCAAGGUCUUUCGUCAAAAUUCAGCCCUUGUAAUUCAUAAGGCAAUUCAUACUGGAGAGAAACCUUACAAGUGUAAUGAAUGUGGCAAGGCUUUUAAUCAACAAUCACACCUUUCACGCCAUCAAAGACUUCAUACUGGAGUGAAACCUUACAAAUGUAAGAUUUGUGAGAAGGCUUUUGCGUGUCAUUCCUAUCUGGCAAACCAUACUAGAAUUCAUAGUGGAGAGAAAACAUACAAGUGUAAUGAGUGUGGUAAGGCUUUUAAUCAUCAAUCAAGCCUUGCACGUCAUCAUAUACUUCAUACUGGAGAGAAACCUUACAAAUGUGAAGAAUGUGACAAAGUUUUCAGUCAGAAAUCAACCCUUGAGAGACAUAAGAGAAUUCAUACUGGAGAGAAACCAUACAAAUGUAAGGUUUGUGAUACAGCUUUCACGUGUAAUUCACAGCUGGCACGACAUAGAAGAAUUCACACUGGAGAGAAAACUUACAAGUGUAAUGAGUGUCGCAAGACCUUCAGCCGCAGGUCAUCCCUUCUAUGCCAUCGUAGACUUCAUAGUGGUGAAAAACCUUACAAGUGUAAUCAGUGUGGCAAUACCUUCCGUCACCGGGCAUCCCUUGUAUACCAUCGUAGACUUCACACUCUAGAGAAAUCUUACAAAUGUACGGUUUGUAACAAGGUUUUCAUGCGUAAUUCAGUCCUGGCUGUACAUACUAGAAUUCACACUGCAAAGAAACCUUACAAGUGUAAUGAAUGUGGGAAAGCUUUUAAUCAACAAUCACAUCUUUCACGUCAUCGUAGACUUCAUACUGGAGAGAAACCUUACAAAUGUGAAGCAUGUGACAAAGUUUUUGGUCAGAAAUCAGCUCUUGAGUCACAUAAGAGAAUUCAUACUGGAGAGAAACCAUACAGAUGUCAGGUUUGUGACACAGCUUUCACGUGGAAUUCACAGCUGGCACGACAUACAAGAAUUCACACUGGAGAAAAAACUUACAAGUGUAAUGAGUGUGGGAAGACCUUCAGUUACAAGUCAUCACUUGUAUGGCAUCGUAGACUUCAUGGUGGAGAGAAAUCUUACAAAUGUAAGGUUUGUGACAAGGCUUUCGUGUGUCGUUCCUAUGUGGCAAAACAUACUAGAAUUCACAGUGGAAUGAAACCUUACAAGUGUAAUGAGUGCAGCAAGACCUUCAGUAACAGGUCAUCCCUUGUAUGCCAUCGUAGAAUUCAUAGUGGUGAGAAACCUUACAAGUGUAGUGAGUGCAGCAAGACGUUCAGUCAGAAGGCAACCCUUCUAUGCCAUCGUAGACUUCAUAGUGGUGAGAAACCUUACAAGUGUAACGACUGUGGCAAUACCUUCCGUCACUGGUCAUCCCUUGUAUACCAUCGUAGACUUCAUACUGGAGAGAAAUCUUACAAAUGUACGGUUUGUGACAAGGCUUUCGUGCGUAAUUCAUACCUGGCAAGACAUAUUAGAAUUCACACUGCAGAGAAACCUUACAAGUGUAAUGAAUGUGGAAAGGCUUUUAAUGAACAAUCACACCUUUCACGUCAUCAUAGAAUUCAUACUGGAGAGAAACCUUACAAAUGUGAAGCAUGUGACAAAGUUUUCAGUCGCAAAUCACACCUUAAAAGACAUAGGAUAAUUCAUACUGGAGAGAAACCUUACAAGUGUAAUGAGUGUGGCAAAGCCUUUAGUGACCGGUCAACACUUAUUCACCAUCAGGCAAUUCAUGGUAUAGGGAAAUUUGAUUAAUAUAAUGAUUGUCACAAAGUCUUCAGUAACACUACAACAAUUGCAAAUCAUUGGAGAAUCCAUGAUGAAGAGAAAUCUUCUGAGUGUAAUAAAUGUGGCAUGUUUUUCAGACAUUGUUCAUACAUUGCAGUUCAUUGGCAACCUCAUACUGGAGAGAAACCUUACAAAUGUCAUGAUUGAGGCAAGGUCUUCAGUCAAGCUUCAUCCUAUGCAAAACAGGAGAAUUCAUACAGGAGAGAAACCUCACAAGUGUGAUGAUUGUGGCAAAGCCUUUACUUCACAUUCACACCUCGUUGGACAUCAGAGAAUCCAUACUGGACAGAAAUCUUGCAAAUGUCAUCAGUGUGGCAAGGUCUUCAGUCCGAGGUCACUCCUUGCAGAACAUGAGAAAAUUCAUUUUUGAGAUAACUGUUCCCAAUGCAGCUUUUCAGUAAGUGGUAUGCCUGGGAAACAUGGUGAGACCCCCGUUUCUGCAAAAAAUACAAAAAUUAGCUGGGAAUGAUGGCACAUGCCUGCAGUAUCAACUACUGUGGAGUCUGCAGUGGGAGGAUGGCUUGAGCCUGGGAGGUCAAGACUAUAGUGAGCUGUAAUCAUGCUACUGCACUCCAGCAUGGUUGACAGAGCAAGAUGCUGUCUAAAAAAGAAUACUUAUUGUAAAGUUUGGGUACAGGAAUAAUGAAGUCAUUGAUAGUUUAUGAACAGGCUAUGGAGUUGAUGCCCAAAAGAAAUAAACAGUUUGUAAAUGAAUAACUUAUUUUGAGUUGUGACAAGACAAUGUUGAAAGUGAUGCAUGAAGCGGCAGGCAGACCAUCCACAUCAGUUUUACAGAAAAAAAGUUAAUCUUGUUCGUGCUGCAGUGAAGAGAACAGCAAACAGGAGAAACAAUAGUCAGGAAUUCAAUAAUAGCCUGGUUAACAUGAUGAAACCCCGUCUCUACUAAAAAUACAAAGAUUAGCUGGGCACAGUGGUGGGCACCUGUAAUCCCAGCUACUCAAGAGGCUGAGGCAGAAGAAUUGCUUGAACCCGGGAGGCGGAAGUUUCGAUGAGCCGGGAUCCUGCCGUUGCACUCCAGCCUGGGCAACAAGAGCAAACCUCUGUCUAAAACAAACAAACAAAAAGGUCUAGCCCCCUCUCCUCCUUUGUCUGCCAUCAUGGUGUGUGCUUGACUCCACUUCUUGUCAUGUCUUCUCACAAGACUUUCAGGAUUAAGCGGUUUCUGGCCAACAACCAAAAGUAAAAUCGUCCGAUUUCCCAGUGGAUUCGAAUGAAAACUGGCAAUAAAAUCAGGUCCAACUUUAAAAGGAGACAUUGGAGAAGAACCAAGCUGGGUCUAUAAGGAAUUGCACGUGAGAUGGCACACAUAUUUAUGCUGUGUGAGCAUCAUAAUCACGUUACUUAAGCUGAAAAUGUCACUACCAUCUGGAGACUUGGACAUGUUUUAUUGGGAAUAUAUUUUUUUCUCUCUGAAUCUGUUAUGAACGCAUUGGUUGGGUGGGUUCAGUAAUAAACAUGUGAGACCUUUCAUUUCAAAAAAAAAAUUUUAAUGACAUAAUAGAUUACCUAAAUUUCUGUUUUGCUUUGUUUUGUUUUUUGAGAUGGAGACUCCACUCGGUUCAGUGGAUCGCACCUGUUGUCCUGGCACUUUGGGAGGCUGAGGUGGGAGGAUUGCCUGAGACCAGGAGUUUCCUGGGAAUCUUCUCAUCUUCCCUAACCCAGUUCAUGAAAGACCCUUGGACUUUACUGUUAGGGAAAAAAUCUAUAUAAAACAAUAUCAGCAGCUGGGAGUGAUGGCUCAUGCCUGUAAUCCCAACACUCUGAGAGGCCAAGGCAGGUGAAUCACCUGAGGUUAGGAGUUCAACAACAGCCUGACCAACAUGGAGAAACUGUCUGUAUUAAAAAUACAAAAUUAGGCAGGGUGCGAUGGCUCACACCUGUAAUCCCAGCACUUUGGGAGGCCGAGGCGGGCGGAUCACGAGGUCGGGAGAUUGAGACCAUCCUGGCUAACACGGUGAAACCCCGUCUCUACUAACAAUACAAAAAAUGAGCCAGGCGCUGUGGCAGGGGCCUAUAGUCCCAGCUACUCGGGAGGCUGAGCAGGGAGAAUGGCGUGAACCCUGGAGGCAGAUCUUGCAGUGAGCCGAGAUAGCACCACUGCACUCUGGCCUGGGCGAAAGAGUGAGACUCCGUCUCAAAAAAUAAAUAAAUAAAUAAAUAAAAAUACAAAUACAAAAUUAGGCGGGCAUGGUGGCACAUGCCUGUGUAAUCCCAGCGACUCAGGAGGCUGAGGCAGGAGAACUGCUUGAACUUGGGAGGCGGAGGUUGCUGUGAGCCAAGAUCACGCCAAUGCACACCAGCCUGGGCAACAAGAGCAAAACUCCAUCUGAAAAAAUAAAAAACAAUAUCAGUGUGUCAAAGCAUUAUGUCUGUCACAAUACUUGUGAAAGGAAAAUCAAAAUUACUAACCAAAGAGAAAAGUCAAGCUGGGAACUGUGUUAGACAAACCUGCCUCCCAUUUUAUUCCUAAACAAUAUAGCUACAAGGACUAAACCAAAAAUCUACAUACUCCACUCACAAACUGUGGGCCUCAAGAUCUCCACCCCAAAAUAGUUCUGUUGAAUUUCACCCUGGCAAUGUAAACUGAGAGCUUAUCUUCACAGGUGUAGGAAAGAACCCAUCCCUCUGCACACCUGAGUCAAAUGUCUGUCUGACUACUUCCCCUGACCUAUUUUUUAUGUAAAAAUUCAGGGUCACUGAGCCAGCCUAAGGCAUAAGUGACUAUUCCUCCACCCUCUCUCACAUAUAAAUUGUGUAUUCAAUGAAAGGUUGAUCAAAGACUCAAACAAUGUGAUCAUUUGUUAUCUCCCUGUGACCUGGAAGCCCGCAAUUCCAGUUAUUUCACCUUCCCAGAUCGAACCAAGGUGUAUCUUAUAUGUAUUGAUUGAUGUCUCAUGUCACCCUAAAUUUGUAAAUUGCAGCCUGAACAUCUUGGGCACACGUCAUCAGGACCUCCUGAGGCUGUGUCAUGGGUGCAUUUUAACCUUGGCAAAAUAGAUUUCUAAAUUCAUUGAGACCUAGUAGAUACUUUUGGAUCACAAGCUCAUGAACACAGAAAAGAUCAAGAUAGAAUAAGGAAAAAAUGAGUAUAAUGGAAAGCACAAAUCAGUUCCAAAAUCUCAACUCCUUCAUAUUUAUUCACCAUAGGGAAAUGCUUUACAACUUUGUGGGAUUAGAGUCCAUUUGUGAAAGAUUUUAUAUAUAUAUAUAUAGUUUGUUUUGUUUUGUUUUUUGAGACGGAGUUUCAAUCUUGUUGCCCAGGCUGGAGUGCAAUGGUGCGAUCUCGGAUCACUGAAACCUCUGCCUCCCAGGUACUACGGAUUCUCCUGUCUCAGCACCCCAAGUAGCUCAGAUUACAGGCAUGCAUCACCAUGCCCGGCUAAUUCUUUUGUAUUUAGUAGAGACUGGGUUUCAUUAUGUUAGUCAGGCUGGUCUUGAAUUCCUGACCUCAGGUGAUCCACCUGCCUCAGCCUCCCAAAGUGCUGAGAUUACAGGUAUGCGCCACUAUGCUGGGCCAAAAGAUAUAUUUCUAGUAUUAGAUUGAAAUAAAAACCCAUUCUAUAUAACUUUAGCUAAUUUAAAACGCAAAUAAUAGAUAAUUACAUAGAUACACAAAACUUUAUAAUAUUUCACUUAGUAUUGCUAUUACUAUGUUCUUGGGGCAGAAGCUCAGUCUGUCAGAUACAUUACAAAAGGAUGGUGUCUCCAUAAUUGUGCUUAGGACUCUGGUGCAUAAGUGGAUAAACUGUUAAACAGGAUCCUAGGGGAGCUAGGGUGACAAAGUUCAAGUCCAUUAAAACUAGCAACAUACAUUCCUUACUGCUCACGCAUGACUCAUGGUCUUAAGAUGUUUACAGUUAAGAAAAGCAGCUUAAUCAUACCUGCAAGGACAAACUCCUACAUAAACACAAUGUCCAGAUGACCCAAUAUCCCAUGACAAUGUAUGCUUCUAAGCUAAUUACAGUCAUGCUUUCACGUACUUGCACACUAAAAUACCAAGGAUAGGUGUUUUUUUUUUUUUGAUGGAGCUUCACUUUUGUCAUCCAGGCUGGAGUGCAAUAGGACAAUCUCGGCUCAUUGCAACUUCCACCUUCCGGGUUCAAGCGAUUCUCCUGCCUCAGCCUCCUGAGUAGCUAGGAUUACAGGCAUGCACCACCACCCCCGGCUAAUCGUUGAAUUUUCAGUAGAGACGGGGUUUCAUCACGUUCGCAAGGCUGGUCUCGAACCCCUGAUCUCAGGUGAUGCCCCCACGUCGGCCUUCCAAAGUGCCAGAAUUACAGGCGGGAGCCAAUGCAACCGGCCAAGGAUAGCUUUAAAUCAACAAAGUAAUAAGUUUUGUUACACUGUCAGCCCACUGGCAGGUAGACAUACCUUAGUUUUUACCUAAGCACCUAUGUAAGAGAAACUUUAAGAGAAGGCAGUUCCCUUUGUUUUUGAGGUCGCCCUACUGUGUAACUGGUAGUUUUCUUUUUUUUUUCUUUUUUUUUUUAAGACGGAGUCUCGCUCAGGCUUGAGACACCUUGUCCAGCUGUAUUUUUUAUUAUUAUUAUUAUUAUUAUUAUUAUUAUUAUUAUUAUUAUUAUUUUGUUUUUGAGACUGAGUUUCACUCUAGUUCCCUGGGCUGGAGUACAAUGUCAUGAUCAUGGCUCACCACAGCUUCCAUUUUCUGGGCUCAAGCGAUUCUCCUGCCUCAGCCUCCGGAGUAGCUGGGACUACAGGCUCAUGCCACCACUCCAGGCUAAUUUUUAUAUUUGUAGUAGAGACGGGGUUUCUCUAUAUUGGUCAGGCUGGUCUCGAACUCCCGACCUCAGGCCAUCCGCCGUCCUCAGCCUACCAAAGGGCUGGGAUUACAGGCUUGAGCCACCGCGCCCGGCCUGAAGUAGAAUAUUUUAGAAAGUAAUUAAACCUUUUUUCAGCAUAAUAACCCAGAGAUGUACUUCUGAAGGACUUAGAAUCUCUUCUUGAAAGGCAAGCAACAAGGGAGAUAGUACCUGUAAGUCAGUAGGAAAUUAAAUAUUUCAAACAUCAGCUAUUUCAAAUUUAAAGCUACAGACUUUUAAAUAAUUCGGAACCUUGAGAGGAACGUGGUCAUGCAACCUGAGUCCGGUGGCAUGCAGGCGCAACUUCUACAAGUUUUCCUGGCCAGGCAUGCAGGCUCAGGCCUGUAAUCCCAGCACUCUGGGAGGCUGAGGCGGGCGGAUCGCCUGACGUCAGGAAUUAGAAACCAGCCUGGCCAACAUGGGGAAACCCCGUCUCUACUGAAAAUACAAAGCCAUUAGCCGGGCAUGGUGGCGCACGCCUGUAUUUUCAGCUAUUUGGGAGGCUGAGGCAGGAGAACUGCUUGAACCCAGGACGUGGAGGUCGUAGUGAGCCGAGAUCACAUCACUGCAUUCCAGCCUGGGCGACAGAGCAGGACGCCUUCCCAAAACAAAACAAAACAAAACAAAAUGUGCUAUACAAUUUAGUUUCCUAAUAUCAAUUUUAAAAAGUUUUCGUGUAAAUAAUUAGGAAAACUAAGCAGCCCCAGAGAUAAGACCUCCUGGCAUCAUUGUCCCUUCUUAUGGAGUGAUAAUGUAACCUUCCUUGAAGUGUAUCACUCCAUCACCAGUCAAGCUGCCGCAGCCUAUGCACUGGACUUGAAUGGAAAAUGUGGUGGUUCUGGGAAAGCUUCUCUGUAUUUCCUUGUGUGUGUGAAAUGUUAAUGUCUCUACUUGGGAACGCUGACCCCAUUCAUUUGGAGUUGAGGUUUCCAGGUGGCUAUUCUCAUGCUUUGUGUCCAAAUAAACUCUAUAAUUAAUAAUGUA